UACGUAGGGUGCGAGCGUUGUCCGGAAUUAUUGGGCGUAAAGAGCUUGUAGGCGGUUUGUCGCGUCUGCUGUGAAAAUCCGGGGCUCAACCCCGGACUUGCAGUGGGUACGGGCAGACUAGAGUGUGGUAGGGAAGACUGGAAUUCCUGGUGUAGCGGUGAAAUGCGCAGAUAUCAGGGGGAACACCGAUGGCGAAGGCAGGUCUCUGGGCCACUACUGACGCUGAGAAGCGAAAGCAUGGGGAGCGAACAGG
rnacentral:rRNA from 1 species